rnacentral:ncRNA from 1 species
CAACCUCAACUCAUAUGGGACUACCCCCUGAAUUUAAGCAUAUUAAUUAGGGGAGGAAAAGAAACUAACAAGGAUUUUCUUAGUAGCGGCGAGCGAAAAGAAAUCAGUUCAGCACUAAGUCACUUUGUCUAUAUGGCAAAUGUGAGAUGCAGUGUAUGGAGCGUCAAUAUUCUAGUAUGAGAAAUUAACGAUUUAAGUCCUUCUUAAAUGAGGCCAUUUACCCAUAGAGGGUGCCAGGCCCGUAUAACGUUAAUGAUUACUAGAUGAUGUUUCCAAAGAGUCGUGUUGCUUGAUAGUGCAGCACUAAGUGGGUGGUAAACUCCAUCUAAAACUAAAUAUAACCAUGAGACCGAUAGUAAACAAGUACCGUGAGGGAAAGUUGAAAAGAACUCUGAAUAGAGAGUUAAAUAGUACGUGAAACUGCUUAGAGGUUAAGCCCGAUGAACCUGAAUAUCCGUUAUGGAAAAUUCAUCAUUAAAGUUAUAAUAUUUAAACAAUAUUAUACAAAUAAUGUGCAUUUUUUCCAUAUAAGGACAUUGUAAUCUAUUAACAUAUUAAAUUUAUCAUAAAAUAUGGCUUAUAGCUUAUUCAAAUUAUUAUGCUUGCAUUUUUAACAUAGAAUAAAUGUCAUUAAUUUGAUAAAGUGUUGAUAGACUAAUAAGAAUACAGUGCGUUAAUUUUUUCGGAAUUAUAUAAUGGGCAAAAUUAUCAAUUGAUUUUUGUGUUUAUUAAAAGCACUUGUAUGAUUAACAUUGCGAAAGAUUCAGGAUACCUUCCGGGACCCCGUCUUGAAAACCGGACCAAGGGAAUCCAAAAUAUUUGGCCAGUUAUUGGGGAAAAUAAACCUUAAUAGCCGUAAUUAACUUGACCAAAUAAUGGGAAUUAUUUUUUUUAACCUAUUUUAUAACUUAAUUAAACACCAUCCCCCGGGGCGCUUUUAUAAAAAUUUUGGUAAAAAAAAAAAAAUUUUAAAUAUA